rnacentral:rRNA from 1 species
CGGUCCAGACUCCUACGGGAGGCUGCAGUCGAGGAUCAUUUGCAAUGGGCGAAAGCCUGACAAUGCGACGCUGCGUGGAGGAUGAAGGCCUUCGGGUUGUAAACUCCUGUCAUGGGGGAACAGGCGAGGGGACCCAAUACGUCCCUUAGUUGAGUGUACCCCAAGAGGAAGGGACGGCUAACUCUGUGCCAGCAGCCGCGGUAA